GACAGAGGGUGCAAACGUUGUUCGGAAUUACUGGGCGUAAAGCGCGUGUAGGCGGUCCGGAAAGUCGGGUGUGAAAGCCCUGGGCUCAACCCAGGAAGUGUACUCGAAACUCCCAGACUGGAGUCCCGGAGAGGAAGGCGGAAUUCUCGGUGUAGAGGUGAAAUUCGUAGAUAUCGAGAGGAACAUCGGUGGCGAAGGCGGCCUUCUGGACGGUGACUGACGCUGAGACGCGAAAGCGUGGGGAGCAAACAGG
rnacentral:rRNA from 1 species